rnacentral:rRNA from 1 species
CGACCGGCGCACGGUGAGUAACACGUAUCCAACCUGCCUCAUACUCGGGGAUAGCCUUUCGAAAGAAAGAUUAAUAUCCGAUAGCAUAUAUUUCCCGCAUGGGUUUUAUAUUAAAGAAAUUCGGUAUGAGAUGGGGAUGCGUUCCAUUAGUUUGUUGGGGGGGUAACGGCCCACCAAGACUACGAUGGAUAGGGGUUCUGAGAGGACGAUCAGCCACAUUGGGACUGAGACACGGCCCAGACUCCUACGGGAGGCAGCAUG